GACGUAGGGGGCCAGCGUUGUUCGGAAUUACUGGGCGUAAAGAGCUCGUAGGUGGUUUGUCGCGUUGUCCGUGAAAACUCACAGCUCAACUGUGGGCGUGCGGGCGAUACGGGCAGACUGGAGUACUGCAGGGGAGACUGGAAUUCCUGGUGUAGCGGUGGAAUGCGCAGAUAUCAGGAGGAACACCGGUGGCGAAGGCGGGUCUCUGGGCAGUAACUGACGCUGAGGAGCGAAAGCGUGGGGAGCGAACAGG
rnacentral:rRNA from 1 species